CGCAGAGAGAGGAAGCUGCCUAAGAAUGAAGGGGAGAAAUAUAUCACAUCAUCUGUCUGUCCACAGCCUUCCUCUGGGCAUCUAAAAGGCCGGUGGUGGCUGGUCCCCUUCAAGAAGGUGAGGUGCCUGAGGUCCCUUCGCCCCCUCUGGACAUUGAGUCAAUGGACAUAGCGAGUCAUAAUCUCAAGAUUUGGCUUUCUUUACUUGGCUACAGAGGUGAUGAAAAGGAAGGGGUUGAACAAUCCCCUCUCUCUGGCUACCUAGAGUAUUCAGGAGCCUUGGGAAAACGUGGCAGCUGGAGCAGAGCAGGGAGAGGAUCAGUCACACAGGUACAGCAGCCAUGGUAAGAUCUCUUAUCAGCCUUUUACUCUUCGCCUGCUGCAGUGGUUUUAACUUGGAAUAAUUCAUACCUGU
rnacentral:lncRNA from 1 species